rnacentral:rRNA from 1 species
AGUGAACGCUGGCGGCAGGCCUAACACAUGCAAGUCGAGCGGCAGCGCGGGGGCAACCCUGGCGGCGAGCGGCGGACGGGUGAGGAAUGCAUCGGAAUCUACCUCGUUGUGGGGGAUAACCUCGGGAAACCGGGACUAAUACCGCAUACGACCUACGGGUGAAAGUGGGGGACCUUCGGGCCUCACGCGAUGAGAUGAGCCGAUGCCGGAUUAGCUAGUUGGCGGGGUAAAGGCCCACCAAGGCGACGAUCCGUAGCUGGUCUGAGAGGAUGAUCAGCCACACUGGAACUGAGACACGGUCCAGACUCCUACGGGAGGCAGCAGUGGGGGAAUAUUGGACAAUGGGCGCAAGCCUGAUCCAGCCAUGCCGCGUGUGUGAAGAAGGCCUCGG